AGCCGAGCAUCUAUGGGCGUGAAUGGAAUGGGAGGGAUGUCUAGCAUGUCUAGUAUGAGUGGUGGAUGGGGAAUGUAAUUGAUUUUGAUCACUGACUCUUGGUCAAAAAGAAAUUUUUUUAAAACCAUUCAGUUUAACAGUUUUUGCAAUCCAGCCUUGUGGUUUUAAUGCCUGCUCUCUUAAGUGAACUUUGGCAUCGAUCGCUCAAAGAAGGUUCAAUGUUGAACAUAGCAGUCACCUAGGAUGAUAGGGCAAAGUUGAGUAACUUUAACUGUUAAACUUAAUUCCUAGCUUUUCUCUAGUUAUGUAGGAUGUACGUAAGCAGUAAGUGUAUUUAGGUUAAAGCAGUUGAAUUAUGUUAAAUGUUGCUCUUACAUCACAUUACAUUGAACACUGUCUGGAUGCAUGUUGAAAGACAUGCUUUUUUUUUGUAAAACUCAAUAUAGGAGCUGUGUCUACAAUUAAAAGUGAAACAU
rnacentral:lncRNA from 1 species